AAAAAAAUAGCUGCGUAUAGUGGCACACGUCUGUAGUCCUAGCUACUCAGGAGACUGAGGUGGGAGGAUUGCUUGAAACCAGGAGUGCAGUGGCACUGUCUGGGCUCACUGCAACCUCCGCCUCUCGGAUUCAAGCGAUUCUCCUGCCUCAGCCUCCCGAGUAGCUGGGAUUAGAAGCACAUGCCACCGUGUCCAGCUAAUUUUUUUGUAUUUUUAGUAGAGAUGGGAUUUUGCCAUGUUGGCCAGGCUGGUCUCAAACUCCUGACCUCAAGUGAUCCACCUGGACCUCCCAAAAGUGCUGGGAUUACAGGCUUGAGCCACCGUUCCCUGCAAAAGCCCAACUUUCUAUAGCCUCCCACCAUCUCUAAACUCCGCAAUAGUGUUUCAUUUAGCUUAUUCCCUGAAUUUCAAUUUCUUCA
rnacentral:lncRNA from 10 species